UCUCCACUAAGCCUUUAAAAUGUUCAUAUCAUGCUGUAAAACGCUGAACUUUCAACCAUUCAGAUUGAAUAGAGCCCUAAAUCACACAACAGUUCAACAACGCCUGAUCACAUCCAGUUUGGUCACAAAGAGGAGUGUAUGACGGUCAGGAGGUCAGGUCAGGAGGUCAGGUCAGGAGGUCAGGUCAGGAGGUCAGGUCAGGAGGUCAGGUCAGGAGGUCAGGUCAGGAGGUCAGGUCAGGAGGUCAGGUCAGGAGGUCAGGUCAGGAGGUCAGGUCAGGAGGCCAGGUCAGGAGGUCAGGUCAGGAGGUCAGGUCAGGAGGUCAGGAGGUCAGGUCAGGAGGUCAGGUCAGGAGACCAGGUCAGGAGGUCAGUCUCCAUGCUGAGGAUACGGUCAGGAGGUCAGGUCAGGAGACCAGGUCAGGAGGUCAGGUCAGGAGGUCAGGUCAGGAGAUCAGUCUACACGAUGAGGAAACAGCCAGACCAGGUCAGGAGGUCAGGUCAGGAGAUCAGUCUACACGAUGAGGAAACAGCCAGACCAGGGCAGGAAGUCAGUGAUCAUACUCCUUGUCUAUAAACUUGGCCAUGGUGGACAGCUGGAUGUUGGUGGUGCCCUCAUAAAU